rnacentral:rRNA from 1 species
UACGAAGGGGACUAGCGUUGUUCGGAAUCACUGGCGUAAAGCGCACGUAGGCGGAUAUGUCAGUCAGGGGUGAAAUCCCGGGGCUCAACCUCGGAACUGCCUUUGAUACAGCAUAUCUUGAGUCCGAUAGAGGUGGGUGGAAUUCCUAGUGUAGAGGUGAAAUUCGUAGAUAUUAGGAAAGAACACCGGUGGCGAAGGCGGCCCACUGGAUCGGUACUGACGCUGAGGUGCGAAAGCGUGGGGAGCAAACAGG